GUUCUUUACAUAUCAGUUGGAGACACUAAUAGGAUUUUUAGGGGUUGCUAAAAUCAGUCUCUUUAUUUUUAUUUUAGUUAGUUAUUUUAGAGACAGGGUCUUGCUCUGUCACCUAGGCUAUGGUGCAGUGGUGUGAUGAUAGCUCAUUGCAACCUCGAACUCCUAGGCUCAAGCAAUUCUCCUGCUUCAGCCUCCCAAGUAGCUGGGACUAUAAGCACUUGCCACUAUGCCAAGCUAAUUUUUAUUUUGUGUAGAAACAGGAUCUUAUCAUGUUGCCCAGGCUGCUCUCAAACAUCUGGCUUCAAAUGAUCCUUCCACCUCAGCCUCCCAAAGUGCUGGGAUUAUAGGCAUGGGUGACCACACGCGGCUUUUUUUUUUUUUUUUUUUUUUUUUUUUUUGGUGGGGGUGGGGUGUCUUUUUUAAUUGAAAAGCUAACAAAUUUUCCAAGUCCAUUUCUCCAAAAAAACCCACAAACUGUGUAGUAACUGAGUCUCUCAGCAAUAUACUCAAAGCUAAGAGGAUUUUUUUUUAAAGUCCUCAGAUGCAGUUAAGGAAAGCCCUGCUACAUACAGGUUAAUCAAUAUCAGUAAUACCCCUUGACUCUAGGAGGCUGGAAGAUAUCCUAGUAACCCCACUCACAUCAAUUGUUUCAAGUAGCCUUUUUCCAGUUUCCAACUCAUGAGUAAAGAUAAUAUUUUGUGGCUAGGUGUGGUGGCUCACACCUGUCAUCUUAGCACUUUGGGAGGUGAAAGUGGGCAGAUCACUUGAGCCCAGGAGUUCAAGACCAGCCUGGGCAACAUGGCAAAACCCUAUCUGAACAAAAAUUACAAAAUUUCGGCAGUUGUGGUGGUGUGCACCUGUAGUCCCAGCUACUCGGGAGGAUGAGGUGGGAGGAUCAUCUGAGCCCAGGAGGUCGAGGCUACAGUGAGCCAAGAUGGUGCCAUUACACUCCAGCCUGAGUGACAGAGUGAGUCCCUGUCUCGAAAAAAAAAAAAAAAAAAAGGCCAGGUGGCUCACACCUGUAAUCCCAGCACUUUGGGAG
rnacentral:lncRNA from 1 species